GACGAACGCUGGCGGCGUGCUUAACACAUGCAAGUCGAACGGAAAGGCCUCUUUCGGGGGGUACUCGAGUGGCGAACGGGUGAGUAACACGUGAGUAACCUGCCCUUGACUUUGGGAUAACUUCAGGAAACUGGGGCUGAUACCGGAUAGGAGCUCCUGCUGCAUGGUGGGGGUUGGAAAGGUUCGGCGGUUGGGGAUGGACUCGCGGCUUAUCAGCUUGUUUGUGGGGUAGUGGCUUACCAAGGCUUUGACGGGUAGCCGGCCUGAGAGGGUGACCGGCCACAUUGGGACUGAGAUACGGCCCAGACUCCUACGGGAGGCAGCAGUGGGGAAUAUUGCACAAUGGGUGGAAGCCUGAUGCAGCAACGCCGUGUGCGGGAUGACGGCCUUCGGGUUGUAAACCGCUUUCGCUCAUGACGAAGCUUUGUGUGACGGUAGUGGGUAAAGAAGCACCGGCUAACUACGUG
rnacentral:rRNA from 1 species